UACGUAGGGGGCGAGCGUUGUCCGGAAUCACUGGGCGUAAAGGGCGCGUAGGUGGCGCGGGCAGUCAACGGUGAAAGUUCGGGGCUCAACCCUGAAUCGGCCGUCGAUACUCCCGGGCUUGAGCACUGUAGAGGCAGAUGGAAUUCCGGGUGUAGCGGUGGAAUGCGUAGAGAUCCGGAAGAACACCGGUGGCGAAGGCGGUCUGCUGGGCAGUAGCUGACACUGAGGCGCGACAGCGUGGGGAGCAAACAGG
rnacentral:rRNA from 1 species